GCUACGAUAGUUUAUUCUAAAAACACUAGCCUGUGACGCUAAAAAAGGAACCGUCCCCGUAGCU
rnacentral:tRNA from 1 species